UUUAUGUGCCCGCCGGGGGGGAUGAGAACCCCCGACCGGGGUUCGACAACUGGCAACGCCAGUUGGACAGACCGCGAGCCUGCGAGCGGGCUGCCCCGCAGGGGCGAGCGAAGCGAGUCAAUCCCCCCCUCACCGCCA
rnacentral:sRNA from 1 species